CUCUCCAUGGCAGCGAGCAAGAAGCCUCGUCGUAAAAAAAAUAACAACCGUUCUGAUUUAUUCCAGAAAAACAACGCACGCCCCGUCCCCAGCGCACGGCCCUGCAAACAUCUGACGUGUGGCGCCCCAGCGCCCGCUGCUCGGGGAUAAGCCCCGCUUCGGGGCCGUGGGACCACUGGGCCGCAUCGGCUGAAAAACAAAAAUCCACCCCGAAACUCACAGAAGCGGCUGCCAGGGCAUCCCCAGCCCAGCCAUGGGUGGGAGCGGCUGCAUCGGUGCAGGUCCCGGCCCCCUCGGGCCUACAGCUCAGACUGCGAGCGAGAGAUGCGCGGGCCCUUGCGGAUCUCCUUGCGCUUCUCCUCCUUCCGGCGCCGCUUCUCCUCCUCGCGCAGUGCCUUCUGGAAGGUGUCAGCGCUGGGGAAGAACUCAGAGUGGUCAGCUUUGAAGGGAUUGCGGUAAUUGGGGGACUUCUCGCUGAUUCCCAGCUCUUGAGCCAUCAGCCCCAGGAGCUGGGAGUGAGGCCCCUGCUCAAAGACACCCGUCAGGUUGCAGAAGCCGAUGCCCCAACGGAUCAGGUUGUUCCAGUUGGAGUUGCGGUCGAAGUAGUGGUGCACAAUCUUGGGGAAGCGCAGCACGACGUCCCCGAAGAAGGCCGUGUUCUCCACCACAUGGGAGUAGGCAUCCUUCAGCUUCUCAUCCUGGGGGAAAGGCCCAUCCGGGGGCACGUCUGCAGCUAUCAGUACAGCCCGGGAGUCCUCCAGCACUUUGAAGAGUCCCUUGAGCAUGAUGUCAAUGAUUUUAUACUGUUGGUUGAUGUCAUUGAGCUCGAUGAGGUUCUUCAGGGCAUUCAUCUGGUCCUUGCGCUUCACCUCGAACAGCUUCUUAUAGAUCUCCAAUCCAGAGCCCAUCCUCUGCUUCUCCAGGUCUGCCAGGCUGCCCUCGGGCAGCACCACCGCCAACAGGAUGAGGCAGAUCCAGAGGAAAUCCAUCGUGGAGGCCACAGCCUGCGGGCCGGGAGCGGGGCCGGGAGCGGCGCUCAGAAGCACCGCGCUGCCAUGCCGCCGCCGCCUCCCGCCCCGCCCCGCCGUGUCACUUCCUGAGCUCCCGCACCGCCCCGCCGGCCGCCGUACCUCGGGCUGCGGCCGGAGCGGCGCGGCCAGCAGGGAGAGAGAGGGGAUGCUGCCUCUUUGUUAUGCGCUGUGAGACCUCACCUGGGGUGCUGCGGCCAGAUGGGGAGUCCUCAGAGCAGGAGAGACGUGCACCUGUUGGAGCGUGUCCAGAGGAAGGCCAGAGAAACGAUCCGAGGGAUGGAACGCCUCCCUGCGAGCACGGGCUGGGAGCUGGGGCUCCGGGGAGACCUGAGAGCAGCCCUUCAGUAUCUAAAGGGGGGCUAUAAGAAAGAAGGGGACAGACUCUUUAACAGAGUCUGCUAGGAUAAGACAAGGGGAAAUGGUUUUAAACGACAGGAGGGGAGCUUUAGAGGGGCUGUAAGGAAGAAGUUGUUUACAAUCAGGAUGGUGAGGCAGUGGCACGGGUUGCCCAGAGAGGCGGUGGACGCCCCAUCCCUGGAGACAUCAUCCAAGGUCAGGCUGGAGGGGCUCUGAGCACCCUGAUGGAGCUGCGGGUGUCCCUGUUCAUUGCAGGGGGGGUUGGACCGGAUGGCCUUUGAAGGUCCCUCCCAGCUCAAACAAUUCUCCGAUUCUCCCCUUCCCAGCGGGACACAGCUCGUUCCUCAGCCCCUGCUGGCCCGUGGGAAGGGCAGAACAAGGAUGGCGCCAUCCCCCAGCAAGGCAGAUGGAGAGCACCUCACCCACCAUCCAGCAGUGCUGUAGUUUACUGUCUGCAGAGUGUCAGCUAAGCGGCGUCCCACACGGAACACAAAAAGAGGAACUGUUUAAGAAACUGUGCUUUAUGAAUGAUAUUCAACAAAAACUUAACAACAAACUGACUUCCUUGGGCCGCUUCCUCUCUACAGCCUACAAGGAACAAAUGGCAGGGUGCCACCUCCCAUUCUGUUCUUUCCUCAUCACUCUGUUGCGUGUACCCCAUCUUGUCACUUCAGUCUUCACUGUGGCAGGGCUAUCGUUACACUGCCCACACAUCUGUCAUUGAUGGCAUGAGUGGAAAACAAAGGGAAGGCAGAGCUGAAACUCCAGCACGACACUGGAAUUCCCACAUUUGACACAGUGCUGACAGGAGGCAGGUAGAGUCUUAGGACAUCCCGAGUUGGAAGGGACCCAUAAGUAUCAUUGUGUCAUUACUAAACUGCCAUGGAAAUCUCACCAACCCAUGGGGAAUGUUUAUGCGGGUGAACCCGAAGAAAGCUUUUUCUUGAUAGAACAGAGGUAUCCAAACUACUCCAGCAAUGUAACAAGACUUCUGUCCACCCCUCUCACCCCUAUACAGACCAGCAAAGAGGAACUUGAUGGGGCUUACGUGGUCUUGACCAUGAGAACUUCUACCCCGAGCUUCCCACUGCAGAGAGGCAGUGUCACACAAGGACUGGGCAUGAGGAUAAACCACUGCUCACAGAUAAUGCACACCUCACCUGCCACGGACGCUGCCCAUGGCUGAGGACAGCGUCACCCCACAGGCACAAGGGAGGAAGUCCCCCACCCAACAGGAAAUCAUUGCUGGGGCCCAUUCCAUAUCUGCUACCUAUUCGAUGCAACACGGCACGAUGAUAACAGGAAGGCAGUUUCAGUCAUAAACAGUACUGAAUUUAGCACGGGCAUCAGGUUCCCUCUUUCCCCAAAAGAAGUCUGGGAGUUGCUCCUCCCUCCCAUCCGUGCAGAAGAAGAGGAUUUGGUUCUCAGCAGGGGACUCCACUGCUCAGGUGAAGCAAAAAGAAAUUCAGUAACUCCACUCAGCAGUUUCUGAACACCUGCUGUACUUUAAAAGUGUUCGAGUUACCUUUGGGUUGCCACGACUUCACACGCUUAGCAGUGCUAGUUAGCUCACAGACAGAGGUUAAGUGGCUGCUCAGCCCCCAGGGAAAUCAAUAUGGGAAUCGCUUCUGCUUUGAAGUCAACAGGCGCCCCAGCCUGCCCCUCUUUCAUUACACCAUCUCUGCCUUACAGAUUAAUGCAAUCCCGGCACAGACAGCCAUCUUUCAUCCCAAAUACCUCUUCAUUUCCCAGACGUCUUCUCAAAUUUGAGAAUGUUGAGGUAUUUCAUCUCAAAGUUAGCCAACUUUUUGCACUGUUUGCCUUUGGCUGAAAAUGGUCAGGAGCAGCAGAUUAAGUAUCCCUUCUACUUCUGUUACAGCUCCCGCCCUCACUUUUCUUAUCAAAGGCAUUUGCCCAGCAAAAGGAUACACAAUGUCCUGAUGUUUUGCACAGGUGUUCGUCUGCUGUGGAAGGUGCUCCAGCAAGGUCUGAAUGGUCCGUGCCUGCACUGGCUCCACCUGACAACGGCUGCUCUGAAUCUGAGCAGUCAGGAGAAGGAAUGGUUUCCAGAUGAAAAGCAAACUGUUGUUCUUUCACACUUCCCUCCUGCAUCUCCAGCCAGAGCAAUGAGACCUCCAAACUUUGAUCAAGGAGCCCAUGACAGUACUGACAACACAGUUCAGGCAGCUGCUGGCAUCAGUCAUGUUCUCAUUUCACCACUCAAGGCCAAGCAAGCAGCUGCAGGAUUCCUCAUCAUCUCACUAUAGCCUCAAAGGAAGCUUAUGGCUCCCCAUCAAAGGCUGAAGCAACCCCCUAUGGAACUCCCUUCUCACUUUCCUAGGCAGUCACUGCUUUCUUACCUGGCAGAGGAAGAGGUGAAGAGCCCGAGAUGUGGCCUCUGGCAGCUCUACUAAGUUGGCUUCUGCCACUUCCUGGAGAAUCUGGCCAAUUUCUUUUUGAGAAAUGAUAUUGCUGCUCUGAUAUUUCAGAAACUUGAACAAAGGAAAUGAGAGGCAUUAAUUAGUGAGUGAAUGACCCACAGACUCCAAUAGCGAUUCAUCACCUGAAAAGACCUCUUCUGUGUUAAAGGAUCCUGCAGCACGCUAAUCACAGGCCUGAUUUUAUACCAUUUCUGACAGAACCAGUGCAAAUAUCCAUGUUGGUGGUGCUCUGACUUGUAACUUGUUUUGGUUUAGGUCAGGCAAGAAUCAAAAUGAACCCAGUAUCUCUUUAAAGUGCAUCAAGAAUAACAAAGAUCGACAGACACAUCAUCUAUUUGGAGAAAGAAAGUUCACAUAAAUAACCCUUUCCUCUCAUGUACUGCUAUGAGGGCUUUAUCAUCAGUGUUUCUGUUGGGUAGGAGUACACUCCCUCUCCUGCUCAUAGGCCCCAGAUGCACUGGGGUCAUACACUGUAGUAGUUCCCUGACCUGAAAAGUCAGGCCUGUAAGGCCAAGGACAGGGAGAGAAGCUGUGAGGCCAUGCAAAGCCCUGCUCUCCAAAGAGCCACAGCACACUCUCAUGCUGACAACAGCAGUUGCACAUUCUCUGUAGUCUUUCCCUCUCCUCCCCAGGGGUCCUAGGUGAUGCAAAUCAGUGCUACAAACACCAAAAGAACAGGAUGUGCUCACUAAGAGCAGUCAGUUUCUGCACAGUGUGGAAAGGAAACUCACUUCAAAGUAUAAUCAUUAUAGGAUAGAAAUACAGUGAUGGACAAAACCACAGCAGUAUCCAAGAUUGUGUGUGUGCAGGAAGUAAGUUCCAGUAACCAACUCAGAUGCACUGUACCAACAAAGAAGUAAAACAGAACAGCCUACCCUGCCCUCACUCACCAAAGUCAUGAGCCUGAGAAUUUCUGGCUGCAGAAUGGACUUCUGGCUCCCACUGAGCAGUGUCAAGAGCAGGAAUCGGUGCCAGGGCUGUGAAGCAACAUGUAGUGCUGGGAGAGAAGGAGAAUCCACUGAAAGACAGCUUUAAAAUCUGGCAAGCGACAGGCUGGACCUGAAAAAGGAGUCUUCAACUCUGACCUUGUAUUUCUGUUUCUAGACCCCAAGCUGUGAAACACUAAGGGGGGUAUUUUGCUCUGUACUUACUUGCUUUAAAAUCUGUCACUCUUUGGGCAAGAGUUUAGUCAUGAGGACAAAAGCUUAACAGCUUUUUAAAACAGAAAAUGCAUUUUGUCCACCUUUGUGCUUGUACAGGAAGAGAAACCUUCUCCUGGGGUUCAUGUCAUAAAAUAGAAAGGGGAUAUCUUUAGCCCAAGGUUUUAAAAAUAAUACCCUCUGGUUUCAAUAUGAGGACAAGGUUCCUGACCACGGGUUUUAUUUAGCUGCAGAAUACUCCUUGGGUAAUGAAGGAAGACCUAUAACAUAAGCUGCAAAAACUGAGCCUGGAUCUGCAUCAGAGAGCAUACUAUAGGGACCAGCCAGGCUGAUGGCAGCAAUGCGAACAAUCAGUAGAGAAAAUGUUCCUAAUUAGAACUGUAGAUGAUAAACAGAGGUUAGACUCAAGGUCACCAUCUGUGACAGUACGAAAUCUCUCACUGAACUCCAACGUUGCAUUACCUUGUACUUAUUGCUGGUUGAAAGCAUGUGAUGGACAAUUAGAACAGGUCAGCUGAUAUAACUUGCUAUACCUUGACAGUUCACCAAUGGGUUUGAGCCCUUUGCUUUAGAUAUAUCCCUUUUCCACUGGCAGUCGCAUAACCUCCCUGAUGCCACUACAACAAUCUUGUCCACGGUCAAGCAACACCAAAAAAAAAUCAAGUAAAGUGUUGGCGGAGAAUAAGGAGACUCUUGUUGUCAGUGCUGUGAACUGCACCACGGUAAGAAUUUAGGCAGCCAAACUGAAGGGUUCAGCUGAAACAUUUUGUUAUCUUAAUCCCAAAUCAUUGCAAUGUCCUCAUAACAAGCCUCUUAAGAUUCCCUUCAGCUACUGGCUGUCAUUCAUCUGCACUACUAUAUUUUCAUUCAACAGUUUCCUCUCUCCCAACAAGGUCUUUUUUUUUUUGUCUGGCACUCGUUCACUCCAUUCCCCUCUUUCUCUGCAUUUACAUGACUGAUUUGAACAGAUCAGAGUACAGAGAACUAACUUUCUGUUUAAUGAACACAGCCAGCAUCUCUACUUUGUGACAGGAGGCUGACAAUGAGCAGAAUGGUCUUCUCUUCCCUCAACUGUACAACGCUGUCAUAUGUUAUACUGCUGAUAUGGUAUACAUUUGGUCUGACAUGGACUCUUGAAACCAAGGUCUGUAUUUGCCCCUGGAAAUAUAGAAUUUCCAGCUUCCAUUCUCUGAGGCUGUUUACUAACUCUCUUCUCCCUUCACAUCCCUUAGGGACAAACUGUGGCCAACAUCUCUGCAUGGAAGAUGCAUCAUAUUCAGAGCCUUCCUCCUCUAUAUUUAUGGUCUAAAGGUUUGCUAAAUCGGCCUGGAAGUGAAAGACUAACUACUCUUAUAUUGCUUCAUUUCCUACAUCUUUUGCUCUUAUCAUAUUAGGGCGUGGGGUGGUAGUGACUAUUUUCUUCUGUAGAACAUCUUGGUAUUCACAGCCCAAGUGAGGGCUGACUCCUACAGGGGAACCAGGCACUGUCAUUUCAUCCCACAAAGCACGUGAUUAACUUUGAUCACACAAAUAAUUCUUCUUGUUUGGCAUAAACACAUUAGGCAUAUGCUCCAAGGCAUUACAGGAUGGAGAUCAAAGAGCCCAAAAUCACUGCAAGAGGGAAACCAGUAGAAGGAAGGACGGGAAGACUUUACCAACAUCCUGGUUCCUCACAUACAGGUAUUCCAGUAACGUUUCCAGGCAGGCAACCACAGCUUGAGAAAGCAGUAAGUCUUUCUGGAAUCCCAAGAGGGGAGAAAAAAGAAGAAAAAACAAGCAGUCAACAGCUACCGCAAGAGGAAAAUUCAUAAAGUGGCAGGCUCUGAAGAGCAUGCAGCACAGGAAAAUAACAGCCUUCACCUCCUUCACAGGAUGUAACGUACUGCAAAUUAUCUGUCAUGUCAAGGAGCCAGACAAAAGCAUGAGUACUUAUUCUGAGACGAAAAAAUUAAGUAACUGUCCCCAAAGUAUAAAGAUAGGAGCCCAGUGUUGCUUAAGAGAGUUAAAUGUAAACCGAUGUACUAUCCCCUGGAGCCCAACAUCACUUGAGUGACUAAAUGUAAGCCGAUGUACUUUUCCCCCAAAGUACCUUGCCAGGGCUGUAGAGGAGGGACUGAGAUUUGAUAUGUUUCUCCCACCUCUGUCCCUAUGGGUGUGGAGCCCCCACAGAGCAGGAGAUGGGUAACAGAGAUUGUCAUCAGCACACAAAAUUUAAGCUCUCCAGUUCAGCAGCAGGGAGUUCUACAUAGCUUGAUUUACAUUCUUCCACACUACACUACGCCUUGCACACUGCAGCAAGAGCACUUUCCCUC
rnacentral:lncRNA from 1 species